rnacentral:rRNA from 1 species
AUUGAACGCUGGCGGAAUGCUUUACACAUGCAAGUCGAACGGCAGCACGGACUUCGGUCUGGUGGCGAGUGGCGAACGGGUGAGUAAUACAUCGGAACGUGCCCAGUCGUGGGGGAUAACGUAGCGAAAGCUACGCUAAUACCGCAUACGAUCUAAGGAUGAAGGCGGGGGAUCGCAAGACCUCGCGCGAUUGGAGCGGCCGAUGGCAGAUUAGGUAGUUGGUGGGGUAAAGGCCUACCUAGCCGACGAUCUGUAGCUGGUCUGAGAGGACGGCCAGCCACACUGGAACUGAGACACGGCCCAGACUCCGACGGGAGGCAGCAGUGGGGAAUUUUGGACAAUGGGCGCAAGCCUGAUCCAGCAAUGCCGCGUGCAGGAUGAAGGCCUUCGGGUUGUAAACUGCUUUUGUACGGAACGAAAAGGCUCUGGUUAAUACCUAGGGUUCAUGACAGUACCGUAAGAAUAAGCACCGGCUAACUACGUGCCAGCCGCCGCCGUAA